UGGGGAAUAUUGCACAAUGGGGGAAACCCUGAUGCAGCCAUGCCGCGUGUGUGAAGAAGGCCUUCGGGUUGUAAAGCACUUUCAGUUGUGAGGAAAGGUUAGUAGUUAAUACCUGCUAGCUGUGACGGUACCUGCAGAAGAAGCCCCGGCCAACUACGUGCCAGCAGCCGCGGUAACACGUAGGGGGCAAGCGUUGUCCGGAUUUAUUGGGCGUAAAGGGCUCGUAGGCUGUUCAGUAAGUCAGGUGUGAAAACUCGAGGCUCAACCUCGAGAUGCCACUUGAUACUGCUGUGACUAGAGUUCGGUAGAGGAGUGUGGAAUUCCUAGUGUAGCGGUGAAAUGCGCAGAUAUUAGGAGGAACACCAACAGCGAAGGCAGCACUCUGGGCCGAUACUGACGCUGAGGAGCGAAAGCGUGGGGAGCGAACAGG
rnacentral:rRNA from 1 species